GACGAACGCUGGCGGCGUGCCUAAUACAUGCAAGUCGAGCGGACAGAAGGGAGCUUGCUCCCGGAUGUUAGCGGCGGACGGGUGAGUAACACGUGGGUAACCUGCCUGUAAGACUGGGAUAACUCCGGGAAACCGGAGCUAAUACCGGAUAGUUCCUUGAACCGCAUGGUUCAAGGAUGAAAGACGGUUUCGGCUGUCACUUACAGAUGGACCCGCGGCGCAUUAGCUAGUUGGUGAGGUAACGGCUCACCAAGGCGACGAUGCGUAGCCGACCUGAGAGGGUGAUCGGCCACACUGGGACUGAGACACGGCCCAGACUCCUACGGGAGGCAGCAGUAGGGAAUCUUCCGCAAUGGACGAAAGUCUGACGGAGCAACGCCGCGUGAGUGAUGAAGGUUUUCGGAUCGUAAAGCUCUGUUGUUAGGGAAGGACAAGUGCAAGAGUAACUGCUUGCACCUUGACGGUACCUAACCAGAAAGCCACGGCUAACUACGUGCCAGCAGCCGCCGUAACAC
rnacentral:rRNA from 1 species